rnacentral:lncRNA from 1 species
GACAAUCUGCUUUGCAAUGCAAAAUGCACUUGUACAAGCGCAGUGUGGAGUUAAUAGAAAGUUAGGGACUGCUGAACUAAGCUGGACAAAGACUCAUAGAACAGUGGAGGUUGAAGGGAGCCUCUGGAGCUCAUCCAGUCUGGAUCCCUUCCCCCUCAAAACUGGGUCAAGAACAGCAUGUUGCUCAGGGUGUUGUCCAGGCUUGUUUUGAAAGCCUCCUCCAAGCCUUGCACCCCAUGGACAAGAGAGGGAACAUUGCAGCAAGUCUAGGAGAAACACUGCAGUGUGGUUUGGGAACUGGAGCACCUGACAUCUAAGGCCAGGCUGAAGGGAUGUAGUUUGUUGAUUGUGGAGAAGAGAUGGGUGGCUAAGGGUGGAUCUAACUGCUGUCUUCACCUACCUCCAGGGGAGCUAUAGAGAAGAUGGAUCCAUAUUCUCUUCAAAAUGUACAGCGAAAGGGCAAGAAGCAACAGACAACAGAUGUAGCAAGAGAAAUUCCAUCGAUACAAGGAGAGUUCCCCACGGUGCAGGUGGUUAAAGCAAUAGACCAGACUGUCCAGAGAGGCUGUGGAAUAACCGUCCUUGAUGAUACUCGGGUCUGGCUGGACGAAGCCCUGUUCCAGCGUUCAAGCUGACCCUGCUCUGAUGCACCAUGUGGAGUUUUACUGUCUGGGCUGCUGGUUCUCUCCCUUGGCAUUUUGAAGACAUGAAAAAUUAUGCUUCGGAGGACUUGCCAACUAAAUCCUUCCCCUGCAGUUCUGCUGCUUAAUAUAUCUCUGAUUUUCAUGCAUCCAACUUUUGAACUUUAUUAUUUUCAUCCUUCCAAAAUAUGGAAUUUAUAUUAAAGUGUCUCUAAAGCUCCGUGGAUUUAACAAAAGUUACACUGAUUAAUGGAGACAAUUACUUCUCUAUUAAAGAGUUACAGAAAUGAACUAAAAAGAGAUUAUUUUAAUUUUUUAGCUCUCCCUUCACUUAAUACACGUGCUGCUUCUCUGACAGGAGCUAAAACAAUGAACAAGGCAGAAGAAAGACAUUUUGCAGAGCACUUCAUCAGGGAAAUUUAUUUCAAGUUCCCCCUUUGCUUAAGCUUUACAUUCAGUUUAUGCAGGUAUCUCCAAAGGACAACUGCUCGCUGUGUCUGUGGUUGGAGAAGCUGUUUAGAAAUGACAACCAGAACUGGGCUUCUCCACAAGAGGAACAUCUGCUACUCUCAGGUACAUAUUUAG